rnacentral:rRNA from 1 species
AGGAUAAACGCUGGCGGCGUGCCUAACACAUGCAAGUCGAACGCUCUUUUCCUUCGCAAGAGGGGGGAGGGAGUGGCGGACGGGUGAGGAACACAUGGGUGACCUACCUUUCAGUGAGGAAUACCGGCGAGAAAUCGCCGACAAGACCGCAUGAGCUUCUCUCGGUGAGCGAGGGAAGGAAAGCUCUUUUUCGUAAUGAGGGAGGGCGCUGGAAGAUGGGCCUGUGGCCGAUUAGCUAGUUGGUGAGGUAACGGCUCACCAAGGCGACGAUCGGUAGCUGGUCUGAGAGGACGAUCAGCCACACUGGGAUUGAGAACGGCCCAGACUCCUACGGGGGGCAGCAGUGAGGAAUUUUCCGCAAUGGGCGCAAGCCUGACGGAGCAACGCCGCGUGCAGGAAGACGGUUUUCGGAUCGUAAACUGCUUUUCGUCGGGACGAGAACGGACGGUACCCGAGGAAUCAGCCCCGGCUAACUACGUGCCAGCAGCCGCGGU